UACCAUUAAUUUUUAUGAACCCCUAAUUUAUAAUGAAUGACUCCAUAUUUAUAUGGAAGACACCAUGCUAGGAUUAGUAACAAGAAUUUAUAAUUCUCCAAAAUGCAAAUAUAAACCAACAUGGAUAGACCAUUGGUAGUUACCGAACCUAAAUUUAAUGCAAUAACAUCCACAAGAAAACUCUGCAGCACUCACUCGUUAACCUAACACCAGCGCAUUACAGGAAAGAUUCAAAAAAAGAGAAGGAAUUCGGCAAAUGACGACCCCGCCUGUUUACCAAAAACAUCGCCUCUUGACUUAUAAUAAGAGGUCUAGCCUGCCCAGUGAAUUUUAAACGGCCGCGGUAUCCUAACCGCGCGAAGGUAGCAUAAUCACUUGUUCUUUAAAUGGGGACUCGUAUCAACGGCAUCACGAGGGUCUUACUGUCUCCUCUUUUUGAUCAGUGAAAUUGAUCUUCCCGUGAAGAAGCGGGAAUAUUUUUAUAAGACGAGAAGACCCCAUGGAGCUUUAAACCAAAUAACAACUUAACCACUUAUCCCAUAAUAAAUUUAACCCCUGUUAUAAGGUUUUUGGUUGGGGUGACCGCGGAGUAAAGCACAUCCUCCACGACGGAAAGAAUAAAAUCUUUAUUUAAGAACCACACUUCUAGAAAUUAGUAUACUAACGUUUACUGACCCGACAAUCGAUCAACGGACCAAGUUACCCUGGGGAUAACAGCGCAAUCUACUUCGAGAGCUCAUAUCGACAAGUAGGCUUACGACCUCGAUGUUGGAUCAGGGUAUCCCGGUGGUGCAGCCGCUACCGAAGGUUCGUUUGUUCAACGAUU
rnacentral:rRNA from 1 species